rnacentral:rRNA from 1 species
GUGGGGAAUAUUGCACAAUGGGGGAAACCCUGAUGCAGCGACGCCGCGUGAGUGAAGAAGUAUUUCGGUACGUAAAGCUCUAUCAGCAAGGAAGAAAAUGACGGUACUUGACUAAGAAGCCCCGGCUAACUACGUGCCAGCAGCCGCGGUAAUACGUAGGGGGCAAGCGUUAUCCGGAUUUACUGGGUGUAAAGGGAGCGUAGACGGUAUGGUAAGUCAGAUGUGAAAGCCCGGGGCUCAACCCCGGGACUGCAUUUGAAACUAUCAGACUAGAGUGCAGGAGAGGUAAGUGGAAUUCCUAGUGUAGCGGUGAAAUGCGUAGAUAUUAGGAGGAACACCAGUGGCGAAGGCGGCUUACUGGACUGUAACUGACGCUGAGGCGCGAAAGUGUGGGGAGCAAACAGGAUUAGAAACCCUUGUAGUCC